rnacentral:rRNA from 1 species
GACGAACGCUGGCGGCGUGCCUAAUACAUGCAAGUAGAACGCUGAAGGAGGAGCUUGCUCUUCUGGAUGAGUUGCGAACGGGUGAGUAACGCGUAGGUAACCUGCCUGGUAGCGGGGGAUAACUAUUGGAAACGAUAGCUAAUACCGCAUAAUAUUGACUAUUGCAUGAUAGUCAAUUGAAAGGUGCAAAUGCACCACUACCAGAUGGACCUGCGUUGUAUUAGCUAGUUGGUGGGGUAACGGCUCACCAAGGCGACGAUACAUAGCCGACCUGAGAGGGUGAUCGGCCACACUGGGACUGAGACACGGCCCAGACUCCUACGGGAGGCAGCAGUAGGGAAUCUUCGGCAAUGGACGGAAGUCUGACCGAGCAACGCCGCGUGAGUGAAGAAGGUUUUCGGAUCGUAAAAGCUCUGUUGUAAAGAGAAAGUAACGAAGUGUGAG